GUGUUGCUUGUGGGUGCGUGUGUGGUGUGUGCAUGUGUGUGCGCGCGCGUGUGUGCGGGGUGUGCCGUGAGCGUGUGCCCGCGGUUCGGGGGAUGAGUAGGGGCGCUGACUUUUAGGACCAGCCAUUUGAGUCAAGCUGGAGACGACGUCUUAGAACCUAGGAUGAGUCUCGUUUGGUUUUAGUCUGCAAAGCUCGUCUGCAUCAGACAGGAAUUUUCCCCAGACGCGGGUGCACGUGAAUUAAUUCAUCAGAAGGCGGUUCACGGCCUGAGUGAGGGGGACGAGGGCGGCGAAUUCCUCCGCCUCAUUCCUACCCUGACGAUUCGAGCCUUAGCAAGUUCUGGCCUGUGGAGCCGUCAUCCAGAGCGCACAGCUUCAUGCCCUUGAAGGGCGCAGUGUGUCCCGUGGUGCCCGGUGGGCCCGGACAGAGACCCCAGAGGCUCUGUCUGAAGGAAGCUGCACCCACAGACUCCAUCCAGGCAGCGCGGGCGCGGUCCUGUCGCCUACCUUUCUCGGAAGCCAUCUGCCCAUGUGAAUCUAUGUGAAGGCCCUUCAUGCGCUCCUGGACAUCUGCGUGGGAUUUACUUCAACUGCUAUCGCUGCGAGGAGGACGAGCAUGUUUCACUGUAUUUUUAGCAGAGAGUGCAGAUUUUAGAACCUCGCGAACGGUCCUGUAUCUCCUGCACGAUGACUCUCCAGAACAGGAAUAGUGACCCUUCCUUUGCAUUUAUGGUGCAUAGGUUUUCAAAGGACAGUGUGUAAAUCAGCUUGUGUAAUAAUUGUGGCACCCACGCGCGCAAGCAGACUUACCAUGAGCUGACUUCCACUGAUUAUUUCAGUUUCCAGGGAAACGAGGUUUGCAGCCCCCUCCAGUGAGGGCGGAGCGGCCUCUCCAUUCCCAAUGCAGCAAGGCUGCUGCAGCCACGAUGAUUAGGCUUUGGAGGAGGAAGUGAACGGAUGGGGCCUCAUCCUCCUGCCUCCCUAAAGGGUGAGGGUGGAAGGAUGGGGCUGUGCCCUCUUAGGGCAGGGAAAAACAGCUUGGAGGGGUUUCUGCCAUCAGAGAUCCCAUAGGAGGCAGGUCAGUCCUGCAGAAUUUCUCCCCAGUCUGGCCUCCAGCCUCCCUGGCCCCUUUCUAGAGGCCUCCAUCCCACUGGCGGCUUGCUCCUGCCACCGGGCCUCUGCACAG
rnacentral:lncRNA from 1 species